rnacentral:lncRNA from 1 species
AUGAGCCCAGCUCUGGUGGGCAUGGGUCAGGGCAUGGCCAAGGGUGAGACUGUACAGGGGGUGCUUCCCGCUGUAGCCAGACCUAGGUCAGUCCUGCCCUCCAGUCUUAUGGGUACUUGGGCCCUCACACCCAUGCAGACCAGAGCCGCGGGUGCUGUUGUCUGUCCUUCCCCAAACCUGCCAGCCCUGUGCCUAGAGCAUUUGUUGAAUGGCAUGGCGACGUCUCCGUUAUACCAGCUCAGAGAUUCCCUUGUACAUGUGUGUGUGGGGGGGGGGGGGGGGGGGGGGGGGGGGGGGGGGGGGAAAGCACAUUGCCCGCAGUGCUGCAGGAGGGUCGGCCCCUCCGCAGACUCUGAGCCUGUAUCCCUUCCAGGGGCCCCCCAGGCCCGCGCUCUGGGCGCUCCUGCUGGCACUGCUGGGGGCUGCACCGGGCCGGGCCAGGCUCGGCGCCUGCAGCGUCCCCGACGUGCUCCACCACUACCGCGCGGUCAUCUUCGAGGACCUGCAGGCCGCGGUGAGGUGGACUGGGCCCGGCUCCAGACAGCUCCAUUUCAUUCAGAAAAACCUGACUGGAGCCGCGGCCUCCCGAUGGCGGGGCCGGGUGGGAGCCUCCUGUGGCGCCCAGAAGGAGCACAGUAUCCUACUGUCCAUCGUGGCCCUGGGUCGGACCCUACGUGGGGCGGUGGCCGGGGGCCGCCGCGGGGCUCUGGAAAAGGCGGCUUGGACCGUGGCCAUGCGCACCGAGGCGGUGAUGCGGCGCCACUGCCGGACGCUGCGCCAGGUGCGCGUCCCCGCUCGCUCCCACGGCCCCGCGGUCUCCCUUCCCAGGGGCUGAACACGAGCUGCGGGGGAGGGGGCGGGCGGGGACCAUGCCCACGCCCUGACCGACGCGUCCCCGACAGCGGAGCCGGCGGCCCGAGACGCGCCCUGUUCGGCGUCCGGGCGGCCGGAGGCGGCUCCUGCUGCGUGCCCUGGACGCCGUCGCCACCUGCUGGGAGAAACUCUUCGCGCUGCGCGCCGCGGCCACCGACGGCUCCUGGGACUCCUAAGCUCCCCGAGCGCGCGGGGUUUGGGAAAGGGCCUUGCGGCUCGGCCCCUCCCUCGCCGCGGCCCGCACUCCUCGGAGGGCCCGGGACUGGGAGGCGGGGCCCGCCUGGCGAGCUGGUCCCGGAGGGGGCCCGCCCCCCGCCCCCAGCAAGGCCCCAAUAAACUGAGCUGGUGCUGCGGCCCUGUUCGCUCUUUCUUCGCCUAACAGCUGUGGGGCCAGGCCGCCCCGGGUCCGCGCCUCGGUGGGGAGGGGGCGCUGGGGCCUCCCGCGCACGCGGUGUGGGGGAGGGGGGGAGCGGCGGUGUUCCCAGGCUCGGCCAGCAGGGGGCGCCUCGGGACGGGACUCCUGCUAAGUCGGCGCUGCAGGCUUGGGCGGGGGCAGAUGGGGACUCCUGCUGGUCCUAAAAUGUAGCAUCGUAUCCGUCCUGCUCCACUCUGGGAUGGGGGAAGGGUGGAAAUGGAGGGGAGGGGAAGGCUGAGCUUUGUGAAUUCGGAGCAAAACAACCGGAUAAAGGAAACGGGCCUGAAGGGAAGCGAGCUGCGGCCCUGGCUGCAAGCUGGGCCAGGCCAUUUCCUGUGGCCUGGGAAGGGUGGCAGCAGCUCCUCGGCGGCGGGACUGGACAGGCCAGCCAGGGACCCACCGUCUUGUGUCCUGGGACCUUAUGUUUGCGUGGCCCGGUGGAGGGCUGAUCCCUGGAGUCCCGCACCUACAGCCGCGUAGGCCUGGAGGUCCGUGGCCCCCUCCCGGAUCACAGCCUGUGGAGGGGGCGCAGCAGGGCAGGCAGAGCACCUGGUCAAGGUGGGUGCCUGGUCGGCACACCUGUCAUCAUGCUCUCCCCUGACAGGUGGACGGACCCAGUAGGCACCGAAGCAGGCCUUGCCCUGGGCACCCUGGCAGAACAGAGGCGAGCAGGAGAUGCAGACAGGCCUUGCUGGCGGAGCCGUCAGCAGGGCACAGCUGGCCCUGAGCGCCCCCAUCGUGCGCGUGUGAACGCGUUCAGUCCGAGCAGCAGGAACCACUGCCCCUGGUUCGUACAGGAGGAAACUGAGGCACGGGGAGGUUACAGGACUUGCCCCAGACGUCACAGCCCGAAGUGUAAGGGCCGGGAUGAGAGCCAGGCCCCAAGCAGAGUGACAGCCCGCAUGUGCCCUGUGUGCAGGCUGGGGACCUCAGGGUGCAUGCAGUCGCCUUGUAGGUUCCCAGGCCACGUGGUCGCACUCUGAGUGUGAGGGUGGCCUGGGCAGGGGGCCUGUGUGGUUGAGGUGAGGCUGGAGGAGGUGGGCUUGGACAUGAAUGGGGUGAGGGGAGGUGCGGGCAGCCCCAGGGUCCUGGCCUGGGUCCCUGGGGGAGUCCUCAUCUUGAACUCGGGGAACACUGGUGGAGGAGCAAGCUGAGGGUAGCAGUCAUGCCGCUGGCUCCUGCUGGGCGUCCAGGUAGGAGGGAAAAGUCCUGCUUUGGUUGGAGCACAAGGCUUGGGGGAGCUGAAUCGGGCCUGGUAGAAGGUCAGUAAGAGAGUCCGGGGGUCUGGGUGCGGGGAUGGGGAGGGACAGGCCCUCCACAGAGGCCCCCACCACGCUCCUGCUUUCCCCAGGGCACCUGGCUCCUUGCACUUGGACCUGCCUCAGCGCCAGGGCCUGUGGGGAGAGUGUGCCUCCUAAGGGCGCCUGGGCGUGGCCUCUGGGCCGUCAUGGCUGCUGCCCACCCACAGCCCUCCUUGCUGCUGUGGUGAGCGGGCAAUGGGCAGCCCUUUCCGUCCGCCCAUGCCUGAGGCAGUUCCCAACAAACCCCAGUUUCAGGGGGGCUGGGAGGAGGAGCAGAGACCUCAGUUACAGGGACACAAUCUCCGUCCGAGUCCUGGACUGCAACCAUGGUGGUGGACAAGAUGCUCCUGCACCCUGGCCCGGCUGUUCCUCCCUGGGGGCCCCUGCCAGAGCCUCCCCGGUAGUGAGCGUGUGUGUGUGUGUGUGUGUGUGUGUGUGUGUGUGUGUGUGUACACAAAUGUAUAUGUCGAGGUGUGUGUGCACAGGGAUGUGUGAGCGCACAGGUCCAGGUUCCUGCCCCACCCUGUCUGGCAGGGUGCCCCUCUCAGGCACACCCUCCUGAUGUCUAACCCUGGUCUGUCCUGGCAAAUUGACCGCCUGGGCGUGGGGGCUGGAGGCCUGUGGCCUGAGCUCGAAGACCCCAGUGGUCCCUCCCUCAUCUCACUUUGACGUUGUUCUCAGCACGAGACCCCCACCCCCCGCCCCGGCCACCGCUGUCCACCCUCUGCACUUUAUCUCGAGGCCUCAGUGCCAGGUACAGGCUCUGCACAUCGUGCCCAGGCCUGCUUCUGCCAACCCCCAGAUGAUGGGUCAGCAUCAUGGCUGUGGGGACAUGGGCCGCUGUCCCCACAUCUCAGAAACCAUCUGUAUUAGUUUCCUAGAGCUGCUAUAACAAAUUAGCACAAACUAGGUGACCUAACACAAGAAAAUUUUCUUCUCUCACAGUUCUGGAGGCCAGAAGUCGUCCAAAAUCAGUAUCAUUGGCCUGUAAUCGGGUGUUGUAGGGCUGGGCUGUGCUCCCUCCAGGGGCGAAGCCAUUCUUGCUUCUUGAAGCUUCUGGUGGCUCCGGGUAUUCCUUCGCUUGUGGCUGCGUCGCUCCAAUACCUGCCUCUUGCUUCGUGUGGCCGUCUCUCCUCUCUGAGGAACUUUGCUGCUGGAUUUAGUGCCACCUGGGUAAUCUAGGAUGAUCUCCUCACCUCAAGAUCCUUAAUUACAUCUGCCAAGACCCUUUUUCCACGUAAGGUCCCACUCGUAGGUUCUGGGAGGUGGACGUAUCUCUGGGGCCACCCUUCAACCCACUUCAGCAUCUUUGCUCAUGCAGGAUGAGGGCAGGGUGGGCUUCUGGCUUCUGGGACGAAGUUCACUUGUCCAGGGCGGGGACACCCCAACCAGACCACGUCUGGGGCAGGUGGAGGGAAAUCUGGGGCCGCCCUGCUCAGAUCUGAGGUCUGGCCCUCCAGGCUCGGCACCGGGGCACAUGAGCUACCCAAAUCUUUGCUGGCUGGAACUGACCAGAACCGACAGAGAGAUGGAAAGAGACUCAACGGUGAGGACAGAGCCACUGGCCAGGGGUCACGGGGCCACGGAGGGCAGAGUGUAGGCGGUGUGACCCGGUGGAUGGGCCCCGCCUUUCGUGGACUAGAGGUAUCUGCCAGGCCCCUGUGCCCUGCCUUCCCUGCCAAGGCCCUAGGCAUGUGGCCUGAGCCUGGUUCUUCCUCCAUAAAACACCCUUUCUGGGGCACACACGUGGCGGGGCUGGGGCCUGCACCUGUGGUGUUCUGUCCUACACACGUGCCUUCUCAGCUGCUUCACCGGGGCGGGGGGUGCGGUGGCUGAGAGCCAGGGGGAGGGGCUGUGCCGGGGUGGCAGACGCGGCCGCAGAGCACUGGCCAGGGAGCCAGACCGCCCAUGUGCAGCGCUGCAAGGAGGGGCCAGGCAGGCUUUGAAGGGUAGUCCGGGUCCCACGGCCUCCCCAGACUGGGAGCCUUUGAAAGAACAUCUGGAACACGGGCAACAGGCAAACUAGUCUCUGGAUUCGGAAAACCAGAAACGUGAUCCCAACUGUGCCACUUGUGUGUUCCCUGCCCCCGCCCACAGGCCCCUCUCUCUCUCGACCCCCACUUCCCACCUCUGCCCCUCCCCAGGCUGCCAACAGACCACAGGGGUGGGGUCCGUGCCAACCUCGAGCACUGGCCCUUCUGAGGGCGGCAGAGCGCCUUUGCCCUGCCUGGGGCCUACUCAUGGGCUCCAGCGGCAUCUCCCCCGUGUCCCCUCCCCUACUGGCCGCCACCCCAGCCCAGCUGAGCACCAGGAGGCGGUGGGAGGUUGUGGGAAAGACGGGUGCCCGCCAUGCCAGGCCCUGAACAGACACACCUCCGCGUUCGCGGAGCCAGGGCUCUGGGACAGGACGUGAGUCGGCCGGACCCUGCAUCUGGCGCUGGGUGCCGCGAAGGCGCGGGAGGAAACACCUGCACCAGACCUGAGGGCCCUCGGGCUCUUGCCUGUGAGCCUGAGUGUGGGGUCCCUGCCUGCAGGUGUGCGCGGAGGCGCCGUUCCAGUCGUGGCUGACGCGGAAACACACGCGGCCCCCCACUCCAGGAAGCAAAGCACAUGCUCAUGGGGCGGGGGUGGGGUGGGGGGGUGGAGUGCCAGGUGUUGGAGCCCAUUGUCCCUGCCAGUGGCCUUCGGGACCCUGGGGGGCGCCCAGGGACAGUCCCCAUCCUGCCCCCUCCCCAGGAAAAGACCCAGCUUUGUAAACACAGAAACAACCAUCGGCGCGUCGUCCCCCCCACCCCUCCAAGAGUUAAAGCCCGGAAGAAGCAGCAGGGAGCCCGCACCUGCAGGGCAAAGCGAGUCCUUGUAAGGGGGGAAACGGGGCGGUCAGGGCCUGGGGGCGGGGCGGGCCAGUGAGCGUUGUGGGGAGGUGGGGCGCCUUGCGGUUGGACACCGGCCCCUGGGUCCCCGGGCUGGCGGGGCAACAGCCUGGCUCAGUGAAGUCCCGUCGCCUCCCUACAUGGCCCAGUUGUGACAGUUGUG